AGGGUGGGAAGCCUACGGGACUGGUGCCGGGACCUGUCUCAAAGAGAAAUUCUGUCCCCACCUUGACUGUGGAAUAACAAUAAUGUGUGGGCCCUGUGUCAUCUGAGAAACUGGCUGCCCCGUGGGUAGGGGUGAGAGCUGCAGGGCAGCGCUGAAUUCCCUGAGGAAGGCGCACAGAUAAAGCCAGCAGGAAAUGAGGUCUGCAGGCUGACAGCGUUUCCUAGUAACUGAGACGCCAGAAGAAGGCACCGGAUCUCCCAGAACUGAAGUUAUAGAUGGUUGUGAGUAACCGUACGUGAGCUGGGAGCUGAACUCUUGUCUUCUGGAAGAGCAACUGGUGCUCUUAACUGCUGGGCCAUCCGUCCAGCCUGGACAUUAAACUUUUGAGAAUA